AGUGAACGCUGGCGGUAGGCCUAACACAUGCAAGUCGAACGGCAGCACAGUAAGAGCUUGCUCUUACGGGUGGCGAGUGGCGGACGGGUGAGGAAUACAUCGGAAUCUACUUUUUCGUGGGGGAUAACGUAGGGAAACUUACGCUAAUACCGCAUAUGACCUACGGGUGAAAGCAGGGGAUCUUCGGACCUUGCGCGAUUGAAUGAGCCGAUGUCGGAUUAGCUAGUUGGCGGGGUAAAGGCCCACCAAGGCGACGAUCCGUAGCUGGUCUGAGAGGAUGAUCAGCCACACUGGAACUGAGACACGGUCCAGACUCCUACGGGAGGCAGCAGUGGGGAAUAUUGGACAAUGGGCGCAAGCCUGAUCCAGCCAUACCGCGUGAGUGAAGAAGGCCUUCGGGUUGUAAAGCCCUUUUGUUGGGAAAGAAAAGCAGCAGGUUAAUACCCCGCUGUUCUGACGGUACCCAAAGAGUAAGCACCGGCUAACUUCGUG
rnacentral:rRNA from 1 species